UGGAGCCAUUUUAGGCAUCCUUAUUUUGAGUUGGCAUUACUUUCUUUUGUCACUAGGUGGCUGGCUUUUUGGUUGAGCAGUGCAGGGGGGAAGGCAUAUAUAGAAGCACUGGUGAGCUGAUUAGGAGGGACUCAGGUGUGGGAGCACAAACUGUUCUUACCAACGGCAGACAACAACAGCAGACAAUGGCAGACAACAACAGGCAGGAGAACAUAUAACACAAUAUCACUGCAAUAAUCCCUGGUAUGUUUUCAUUCACCCUGCAAGUUCGUUAAUAAAUAUGCAUAAACUGGAUUUCCGACUGGACUUCGCUUCAUUGCAAUGUUUGCUGCUGAGUAGGAUCACUCCCUUAAAGCUGUUGAGUAGUGACAAUAAAUUUGAACAUUUGAAGGUUUCGGUGAGAAAAUUGUGGUUAAAAGGUCGCUUCUUACCGGAGAAAAGCUGAGCUUGGGCCGUCCAUGAAGCUGCCGUCGAGUUCCCUGAGACAUUGGCGUCAACACACCCCUCCGACUAUCAGGGUUGCAGGGGGUGCUGACGCCUAACUCAGCUACAAUCGGGCGGAAGGCCGGGUACACCCUGGACAAGUCACCACCAAUUAGUUACCUGACGAACAUUUAGGUGUUUUUUUUUUUACUAUACCCAAUUUACAGGUAUAAAUGAUACUCUCACUCGCACUGACUUGCAGCUAUCUUUGUUUGUGUAAUGCAGUGAUGUCCAAAAUGCAGCUAAUUUUUUAACGACCCACCAAAAAUAAUACUUUAAAAAAAAGUGGAAUAAAAGAGCAAACAGGUGACAUGUAACAGGUUGCGUUGUUGACUCUUAACACAAAACGGCCAUGCAGGCUGUUUUU